AAAGACCAUCUAUCAUGAUAAACUGGAUACGGUGGCAAUAUCGUAAUUAUGCGGAAACCAUAUAUUAUGAUAGAUAUUUAAAAACCUAUAAAUAUAGGACCAAUACCCUUUCAGAGAUCUCGCGAGGCAGAGCAUUUCAUUUCUUCCGAUUCGUCCCGCCCAGCUUUUCUUUCUCCUUCACCGUUUCGCCCCACAACUUUUCUUUCUCUUCACCGUUUCUUCCAAUUUUUUUCUCAUAUCCCAGAGCACAGUCUCCAAGCCCUAAGCGUCUCCAAGCCUAGUCCGCUCACACUAGUCGGAGCAUCACGCCGUCUCCUGGUGGCCGCCGAAGAUAGUGAGCUUCCGGUCUUCGAUCUCAGCCGAGGACAGUGGAGAGACUGUGAGGGAAGAGUGCAAGUCGCUCAUUGCUAGGGUUUCACAAGAGUGGGGUUUCUUCCAGGUCGUCUCUCUCAGAUAUUGAGUAGGAAAAAAUUGUCGUCAAUCAUACAAGCUAGUGUUUGCUUAAAUUGUAUUUCUUACUAGAAGAGUUUGUGGUGAACGUCAAGGUAGAGUGGUGGCUCAUCCUCUAAAAGGCCUUCAACCUGAGGCCCACAGUAACAGGAAAGUCAAAUGAUGCAACUGGUCCCACUGCCAACGUCAAAGUUACAGUAAUUUUAGAGAAGGCAAAGGCAAUUCGUCGGGUACAAAAUAUUUGUCUUUUUUUUGAAAAACUCAUUGCAUCAACCCCAAAAAUAUCAGAGGGAAGCUGCAGCAGCUGCACUAUCAGAAUUUGCUCGGUAUAGUUCAUUGCCACAAAACGUUAAUAUGGAUCGCAGUUGGAUAAAUUCUAAACGAACAAGCGAAGAAUAUGAGAGAGGAGUAGAACAAUUUAUUGAAUUUGCUACGAGGAAUGUUCCAGAUAAUAAUGGAAGAUUUUAUUGUCCAUGUGUUAAUUGCUUGAAUGAGCGGAGACUAUCCAUUGCACAAAUACGGGAGCAUGUUUUGUGUGAUGGGAUUCUAAAGAAUUACACCAUAUGGACAUGGCAUGGUGAAUUAGUGGAGUUCCACUAGUGGUUAUAUUAAAAUUUUCAUAUUAGGAAUGUUUUGGAAAUACAAAACUCAAAUCAAAUUAUGAAAAACCGGUUGCGUCUCAAGACUUCAGUUGAGAUAGUUCUUUUUUAUCACUUCAAGUUUGUGCUUUUAAAGGUCACGAUGAAACUACUUAAUAGACCAAGGAGAUUUUAGCUAGUAUGAAAGUCUAUAUUGAAAGGGAUAUUGCAAUAAGCUUUAGUUUUAAUUCAAUGAUUGAAGAUUUCAAGUAAUUAAAAGAGCGUAAAACAACACUUUGACUGAAAGUAACUUUUGUUUUGUUUUUUUUUUUUAUAUAUAUUAGUUUGAUGAUAAACUUUAUGUUACACUUUCAUAUAAAAUUUGAGAUGUAGAUAAUAAUGUCACAUAUUUAAUUUAAGUAGUUGUUCCUGAAAUUUGACUCGCCUAUGAAUAAUUAUUUAUUUACUUUUAGAUGAUUUUUUGCUUGACUUGCAUUCACAAUUUCUCAGUAUGCAAGUGAUACUACACAAUACAAGUAGCAUGGCCUAUGUUAGUAUGCUAUUUUGUAUCUAGGAGAAGACAAGUCUACAACUUGUCUAAGAGAUUACUUUAAUUACUUCAUUCAUGCUAUUUAAUCUGACAUUUAAUGUUAGCUUUUUAUGAUUAUUUUAUGAUAUUAUAGUGAAUAAUAGUAAUUUUUUUUUUUUGGAUUCUAUUAUCAUGU